rnacentral:lncRNA from 1 species
GACGGAGAACCAAAUCGACGUAGAGAGGGAGAGAGCUUGAACGGAAGGGGAUCCGGCCACGGCCUAUGGCUGGCUACCAUGAUUUGGGACCAUCUUCGUCUUCUACCCCCUUUCUGUAGUUCCGACCCUGUUGCUUCGUUUUUUCCGACAUUCAUCACGGUGGUCUAGGUUUUGACCCACUGGUGUUGUAUGCAGGUUUCAUGGAACAAGUGAGGAGAGACAAAGCAAAAUUCAAACUUGAAAGUGUUUUCUGAACAUUUGGCGCAACCACGGCUAAUGAGCUUUUAGCCUUUGUUACAACAUCAGUUCAGAUUGAACAAAAUAUUGUCAAUUAAGUAGUUAAUGGCUUACCUUGGCGUUGU